rnacentral:rRNA from 1 species
AGAGUUUGAUCCUGGCUCAGAACGAACACUGGCGGCGCGUCUUAAGCAUGCAAGUCGAACGGCAAGAUUGGUGCUUGCACCGAUCCUAGAGUGGCGGACUGGUGAGUAACGCGUGGGUGAUGCACCCUUAUGAUGGGGAUAGCUGGUAGAAAUAUCAGAUAAUACCGAAUAAGCUGCACUUUGUUAGAGGGAGUGCAGGAAAGGAACUUUUGUUCCGCGUAAGGAGCGGCCCGCGUACUAUUAGCUAGUUGGUGAGGUAACGGCCCACCAAGGCGACGAUAGUUAUCCGGACUAAGAGGUUGAACGGACACAUUGGGACUGAGAUACGGCCCAGACUCCUACGGGAGGCAGCAGCUAAGAAUAUUCCGCAAUGGACGAAAGUCUGACGGAGCGACGCCGCGUGAACGAUGAAGGUCGGAAGAUUGUAAAGUUCUUUUAUAACUGAGGAAUAAGCAUUAUCAGAGAAAGGUAGUGUGGUGACUGUAGGUUAUGAAUAAGCAACGGCUAAUUACGUGCCAGCAGCCGCGGUAACACGUAAGUUGCGAGCGUUGUUCGGAUUUAUUGGGUUUAAAGGACGUGUAGGCGGUUCUGUAAGCUUGGUGUGAAAGGCAGGAGCUUAACUCCUGAAUUGCGUUGAGAACUGCAGGACUUGAGUUACUGGGGAGCAGUCAGAAUUCCAGGUGUAGGGGUGAAAUCUGUAGAUAUCUGGAAGAAUACCAAUGGCGAAGGCAGGCUGCUAACAGAUGACUGACGCUGAGGCGUGAAGGUGCGGGGAGCAAACAGGAUUAGAUACCCUGGUAGUCCGCACAGUCAACUAUGUAUACUGGAUGUCUGGCCAAGAGGCUGGGUGUCGAAGCAAAAGCGAUAAGUAUACCACCUGGGGAGUAUGCCCGCAAGGGUGAAACUCAAAGGAAUUGACGGGGGACCGCACAAGCGGUGGAGCAUGUGGUUUAAUUCGAUGGUACGCGAGGAACCUUACCUGGGUUUGACAUACAAAGGAAUAAUUUAGAGAUAAGUUAGCGUAGCAAUACGACGUUGAACAGGUGCUGCAUGGCUGUCGUCAGCUCGUGCUGUGAAGUGUUAUGUUAAGUCAUAAAACGAGCGCAACCCCUAUUGUUAUUUACCAACAGGUCAAGCUGGGGACUAUAACGAAACUGCCGGUGACAAACCGGAGGAAGGUGGGGAUGACGUCAAGUCAUCAUGGCCCUUAUGUCCAGGGCUACACACGUGCUACAAUGGUAGGUACAGAGUGAAGCUAAGCCGCGAGGUGGAGCAAAACGCAGAAAACCUAUCGUAGUUCGGAUUGAAGUCUGAAACCCGACUUCAUGAAGUUGGAAUCGCUAGUAAUCGCAUAUCAGCACGAUGCGGUGAAUACGUUCCCGGUCCUUGCACUCACCGCCCGUCA